rnacentral:pre_miRNA from 1 species
UUUUAUGGAUGAACAAAGAUAGUGGUUUCUUGAUAUAGGAUCUACUCAUGAUGAAGAUGCUGAGAA